CAAGUGCCAGGCACUCUUCACGUGCAUUGUCUCGGGCAACCUGUAAACAGCCCAAGAGUUAGAUAAAAUUGCUGCCUCAUUCUACUGAGAAAAAGGGCCACUGCAGGGGCCAUCCUGGAGGGAGUCACAAUGCAGGAGGACAGUGGCAAGUUCAAGAGCUACUGCAGCCGGGGAACAGCAGGACAGCAGCACGUUCAAGGGCUCUUGCAGCAGGGCAUAGCAGGGAAAGGCCUCCCUGGGUCUAACCAAUUUACUCCUAUUGAUUUUCAGAUCAGAGGGGUUCAGCUCACAAAUCAAAAGAUGGUUUUCCCUCCCUGCUGCUAAAUCUGCAGCCUCUCCCAGACACCUCACAAAUUCUGCUUUGAUCUUGAUUAGCCUGGAUGCUUCUAGGUUGGAAACUGUAUGGAGGAGGCAGAGAUCUAAAGGUAAUCUGGGCUGCACCAGUCAGCCUGGCAUGGACUGGUGCAUAUACGUGUGCUCACAGGUCCUGGGCGAUGAGGCCGGGCAGCCCAGUGGUGAGAGGUCUGGGAGCUGGGUCCUGAUGUGGGCAUCAUCACCCACUUGUUUAUAACCUUUCACACUUAAACUCCCUAGGCUCUUUUUCUCAAUUGUCAAAUGGAAAUAAGAGCCAUUCCAGCCUUAUGGCUAAGGAACUGGAGCUUCAGAAUCAAACAGAACUGGGUUCAACUCCCACCUAUGUCCUGUGUUACCUCAGGCAAGUCACAUCACCUCUCUGAGCCUCCAUUCCUUCAUCUGAAAAAUAAGCUUCCAGCAAUUCUGGACUCUCAGAGUCAUUGUGAGAAUGACUCAAGAUGAUGCACAUAGAAGUAUUUAACACUUGAAUGGCUUCUAGCAAGAUCAGGAAACACCACCUAUUACUACUAAAUGGGGCUUUGGUAAGAAUAAAACAGAAUCAUGUGUGUAAAGUGCUUUGAAAAGUACAAAGGACUGAAAAGACUCUGAAGGCUUCUGGAAAUCAGUCUACCACAUUUUGGAGCUGGGGUUAGGAAAGACCCUUGGAAGAGGAUCCAAAGAAAGACACUCCAGAGCAAGAUAUAUAGGAGGCCCAAGGACAACCUGCAGUGCAGGGCAGGCCACUUUCUGGGGCUCCAGGUGUUUUCUAUAUGAUUGUGAUCUUGAUGCUCCCCACCUCACCCCACUGUCAGCCCCAAAAAUUCCCAUUGUAUACAAUUCCUUUUACAGGUGAGAGUCAUGCUGGUAACACCGCCUGUCAUCAGAGCCUUCCAGCUCUGGCAAGGACUGCUUGUUGCUAUGCCAACAACCAUUCUCACCUUCCUCCUUUAUAAAACGAUGCCAGUUGUAUUUAAGCGGCAAUAUUUCCCAGAUUCUGUUGAAUCUAGACCUACAGCGUGGCAUGGAUAUCCACUGGCUGGCACACCAGAAGCCAUGUUAGACUAAGAGGUGACUCAGGAUGGCCAUGCACUGGAGGUAGCAAAGCAGAGAGAAAGGAGUCUGCCUGAUGACAGCCUACAGCCUCCAUUACCAGGCCUGGGCCAAUCACCUCUGGACUUUCUCUACAUGAGAGAAUAAACCAUUAUAUGUUUAAAUCUGUAUUGUUUCCAGCUUUUAUAUGGCAGGAAGAAGUCUUACUAACUUCAACUGUUUAAAAUUCUGUUCAGAGGCCUAGUGCCUAGUAGGUUAUUCCCAGCCUGAGCCCUGAGCUGAGACUCAUUACUAAUGGCUUUCAAAUCAGUGGGAAGCAAGUUUGGAAAUGUGUUCAUCAUCGUUACUGGUAAAUAUUGAUUAAGA